CUAGAGUUGGGCAGCUUAACGGCCUCCUUCCUUCUACGGUCACCUUCCACCCAGCCUCCAGCAAAAAAGGCAGGAGAAUGCAAAAAUAUCGUGAAGGAUGGGGAAAGGAGUUCUGCACUUUAGUUGUCUAAGUGCAUGAUCAUGCUUUGAAAGCCCGCUGCUACAUAUGCAACAUAGACGCUUUCGUUUUGCACGAUGGAGUGUGUGAGGUAGCAGCAGGCAGCCGGGGAAGGUCACGCUCGCAGCAGUCGAAUGAGGGGCCCAAGACAAGCCAUAUGCAAGUUUCUAAUGAAUGGAAGUUCAUCAGAAGCCCAUAAGGGAGUGCAUUGCACAGUCUAGGAGUGGCUACAGAGAAAGCUCACCUUUGAGUUGCCACCAGACGAACCGAUGGCAGCUGGAGCCGGACCUCCACAGAUGAUCUCAGCGUGCGGUGGGAAUCAGGCCAAAGAAAGUGCUCGCUAAGCUGCCUCUGCAGAAGAGCAAUGCUUGAAAUGUGUCAGGCCUGGGGCCGAGGACCAACAGCAGCAAAGGCUCCAAGGCCACCAAAGCACCUGUGGCUGAAACGUCAAAGAAAGAGGCCCCAAGUGGAGAGCAACCGCUGAAGCCAGGGGAAGAGGAAGCUGCCGUAGGAAGUCAAGAUCCCCCAGGCUGGUCUGCAUGUGGUCAGCGCAUCGAGUGGGAGCGUGCCCUCUAGGUGGAAACCCUUUCCCCCCCAGGGGAGAGGAGCCUCCUCCAAAGGAAAAAGAAGGCUGUGAGGGAUCCUACCAGAAUAUUGAGCCCAUCCCCAGGAGAAACCUGGCCCGGGACCAUGGGGAGCCUGCGCAGGGCUUCUUCCCAGUGUGGGGGGACCACCUUUGUGGCAUGCCCAGAGAGACAGCUCUUUCCCAUCCUAGAGAAGAAGACUCCAUGGGAAGCCCUCUGCCCAAGCCACUUCCAACCUCACAGCAACAUCCAUCCGCUCAGCAGAUGCUCGACCCAUGGCCAUUGCUGGCCAAACCACUGAGAAGGUCCAAGCCAGAGGCACUGCCAGCCACUAACUCUCUGACAAAGUCAUCGUUGCCACUUUCCCUGCCCAAGCCACCAGCCCCACACCCUUGGGAACAGCAACCAUCCGAUCCUUCCCAAAUGCUGUGGCUUCGGACGCUAUGGAACCUAUCCACACCUAACAUAUCAACAACAACACUAACGCCUCCAGUACUAACAAUAGUAUAGUUACCCCAAUACUAACAAUACUAAUAUCUCCAUUGUAUUUGGCCAUUUUGCAGGAAAUCAGUCUUCCUGCCAUACCAAAUGACACGAAAGGUUCCUCUAGCAUCUUUUUCCAGCACAGUUCCUGGAAAGGAGAUCCUAACCCCAGGGGCAAGGCCUCCACCUAAAGCCACUGCCAGGCCCAAUGCAAAGCUCAUCAUCUAGGCAAGAGCGAACACCAGUGACAAGAUUACUGUUAGUUAAUAGUAUUUAUGAUUGACUUGAUUGAUUGAUUGAUUUAUAUACCGCCCCUCCAAAAAUGGCUCAGCGUGGUUUAAUGGUCUUUAAUAGUAGUCUAUUUAUUUAUUUUGGUCUAGGGGCAGCUUGAUACCGACUUUAAUCAUUAUAUUUGGUAGUAGUUGUUAGUAGUAGUUGUUGUUAGUAGUUAACUGUCAUGAGAUUUUGUGGUUUGGUGAUAUAGAAAUGCAAUAAAAACAAACAAACCAGUGGCAUGG